AUGCAAACUUAUUGUGCAGCGUCUGGCCAAUGAAUAAAUAAAGAUAAGCCCUUGAUAUUUUUUAGCAAAGGAUGCUGUGAGUCUAUAAAGCUUGAGAUCAAAGAGACACUUGACGUUCAAAAUGGGAAACUCCCAGAAAAGUAUCUUGGGCGACCUUCUGAUGUGGGGCGUGCAAAGGAGGGUCCUUUUAAAUAUCUAAAAAAAUAA
rnacentral:rRNA from 1 species